UUGAAAGGGAAACGAUUGAAGUCAGUCGUGCUGGCGCGAAAUCAACCCCCUCAUCGGGAGACCCAUGUUGUGGCGAGCCUCAAAACCGCCACGGCAUGUGUCUCACGAUGAGGGGGAGCACUUUCGUGUCCGCUGGUUAACAUCAAUUUCGAACGUCAUAAAAAGGUUGGAGGGAUGUGGCUCCUUCGGGAGUGUUAUAACCUUUAGCGGAAUGUGGUGUUCGGGAUUGAGGAUUGCAACGAAUACCUUUAGGGCUGUUCCACCUGGCUUCUCUUUGGUAUCCUGGUGACGACAGCUUGCUGACGUUGUUAGGAUUCGCCUUUGAACAGGCUAGAGUGUGAGCAAAUUCGUUAAGGAUGUUGACGUA
rnacentral:rRNA from 1 species